rnacentral:misc_RNA from 1 species
UCCGGCUUAUCACCGGCAGUCCCUCUAGAGUGCCCAACUAAAUGCUGGCAACUAAAGGCGAGGGUUGCGCUCGUUGCGGGACUUAACCCAACAUCUCACGACACGAGCUGACGACAACCAUGCAGCACCUGUCACCGGUCCAGCCGAACUGAAAGAAAGCAUCUCUGCUAUCCGCGACCGGGAUGUCAAGGGCUGGUAAGGUUCUUCGCGUUGCCUCGAAUUAAACCACAUGCUCCACCGCUUGUGCGGGCCCCCGUCAAUUCCUUUGAGUUUUAGUCUUGCGACCGUAGUCCCCAGGCGGGGUGCUUAACGCGUUAGCUGCGUCACCAAACAGCAUGCUGCCUGACAACUAGCACCCAUCGUUUACAGCGUGGACUAC